CACGUAGGGCGCGAGCGUUGUCCGGAAUUAUUGGGCGUAAAGAGCUCGUAGGCGGCCUGUUGCGUCCGCUGUGAAAGCCCGGGGCUUAACCCCGGGUCGGCAGUGGAUACGGGCAGGCUAGAGGUAGGUAGGGGAGAAUGGAAUUCCCGGUGUAGCGGUGAAAUGCGCAGAUAUCGGGAGGAACACCAGUGGCGAAGGCGGCUACCUGGACCAGCAUUGACACUCAAGCACGAAAGCGUGGGGAGCAAACAGG
rnacentral:rRNA from 1 species